CCUACGGGAGGCAGCAGUGGGGAAUAUUGGACAAUGGGGGGAACCCUGAUCCAGCCAUGCCGCGUGUGUGAAGAAGGCCCUCGGGUUGUAAAGCACUUUCAGUGAGGAAGAACGCCUGGUGAUUAAUACCCAUCAGGAAAGACAUCACUCACAGAAGAAGCACCGGCUAACUCCGUGCCAGCAGCCGCGGUAAUACGGAGGGUGCGAGCGUUAAUCGGAAUUACUGGGCGUAAAGCGCGCGUAGGUGGCUUGAUAAGCCGGUUGUGAAAGCCCCGGGCUCAACCUGGGAACGGCAUCCGGAACUGUCAAGCUAGAGUGCAGGAGAGGAAGGUAGAAUUCCCGGUGUAGCGGUGAAAUGCGUAGAGAUCGGGAGGAAUACCAGUGGCGAAGGCGGCCUUCUGGACUGACACUGACACUGAGGUGCGAAAGCGUGGGUAGCAAACAGGAUUAGAUACCCUUGUAGUC
rnacentral:rRNA from 1 species